rnacentral:rRNA from 1 species
GACGAGGGCGCGAGCGUUUGUCCGGAUUUAUUGGGCGUAAAGAGCUCGUAGGCGGCUUGUCGCGUCGAAUGUGAAAUCUCGGGGCUCAACUCCGAGCUUGCAUUCGAUACGGGCAGGCUAGAGUUCGGUAGGGGAGACUGGAAUUCCUGGUGUAGCGGUGAAAUGCGCAGAUAUCAGGAGGAACACCGGUGGCGAAGGCGGGUCUCUGGGCCGAUACUGACGCUGAGGAGCGAAAGCGUGGGGAGCGAACAGG